CUGUGUUAGCAGGCAGAGAGAAGCUGCAGUUUGUCCUGGUGCUUUGAAUAAUUACACUGUGAUAAGAAGGUGAGUUCAGUCUUAUCUGAGGUCUGAUGUUUUUUACAACAGUCAGGACUGUUAUUGAUAUGGAGAGGAAGUUAAGCACUAGGAACAGCAGGAAUUAGAGCGCGUAAACAGAGUGUGAGAGCUCACCUGGGCUCCUCCUCCUGUGAUGAAGCACACCUGAGAGACCUUCAGCAGCUGAGGACGGGCUGAAUUUGCUCUCACCUGCUAAUUUCAGUCCUAUAAAGCCUCUUCGGGUGGUGCCAGUCCAAAGUCUCAAUCACUGUGAUCGUUGUGGCGCAGACAGUCGUGUCCGUGUGAACCUCCAGCUGAAGAUGAAAGUGUGUGUGAGUUAAGCAGCAUGAAUCAGUGUGAGGAAAGAGUGGAGGGAGACCCUCCCUGUAAAACCACUGGACCUGGACCUGGACAUGGACCUGAGCCCAGCUGUGUAUCCUUCAGGAGUGACCAGUCAAUGGAUGAUAUUAUUCAUUUGAAACAAGAACAUUCCUCAGACAGACAGAGACCAGCCUCUACUGGACCUGGACCUGGACCUGAGCCCAGCUGUGUUUCCUUUAAGAGUGACCAGUCAAUGGAUGAUAUUAUUCAUUUGAAACAAGAACAUUCCUCAGACAGACAGUAAGUUUGUGUCAUGUUGCUCUCUGUUGAUGUUUGUCCUCAUUAAAUCCAGUCUGACCAGUUCUCUUGAUGAGCUUCAUGUUCUCAGAGUGAUGAUGGGGGACAUAAUUCAUAGUCCUUGUUCUGUGUUAAAUUACCUUAAAUAGUUCAGCUGAGGAUAAUAUGAAGCUUCAGAAGUCUGAGCUACACAGAACAAGUGGAGAUCCUCCAAGGAG
rnacentral:lncRNA from 1 species